rnacentral:rRNA from 1 species
GAUUAGGUUGUUGGUAAGGUAAAAGCUUACCAAGCCGAUGAUCCUUAGUGGGUCUGAGAGGAUGAUCCGCCACACUGGAACUGAGACAAGGUCCAGGCUUUUUGCCAGCAGUGGGGAAUUUUGGACAAUGGGCGAAAGCUUGAUCCAGUAAUAUUGCGUGAAUGAGGAAAGCAAAAAAGGUUUAAGAACUUUUGUUUUUAAACCGGUUGUAAAGUUAUUUCGUCAAUAAAGAUAAUGACUUUAAUUGAAAAAGAAGUCCCGGCAAAUUUCGUGCCAGCAGCCGCGGUAAUACGAAAGGGGCUAGCGUUAUCCGGAAUGAUUGGGCGUAAAGGGUUCGUAGGUUGUAUUUGUUGUUAUAAGUUAAAUUUUGAAUUUAUCUUUAAAAGUGCUUAUAAUACUCUUUUACUUGAGUAUAGAAGAGGAUAAUAGAAUUUCAUACAUAGGGGUAAAAUCCAAUAAUUUAUGAAGGAAUGCCGGUGGCGAAAGCGAUUAUCUGGGCUAUAUACUGACACUGAGGAACGAAAGCGUAGGGAGCAAACAGGAUUAGAUACCCUGGUAGUCUACGCCGUCAAAGAUGAGUGCUAAUAUUAGUUAUAUUAUCUAGUAUACGGCUAACGCGUUAAGCACUCCGCCUGGGGAGUACGAUCGCAAGAUUGGAACUCAAAGGAAUUGACCGGGGUCUACACAAGUGGUGGAGCAUGUGNUUUAAUGCGA